GACGAACGCUGGCGGCGUGGAUUAGGCAUGCAAGUCGAACGGUAGGAUACCUUCGGGUAUCUGAGAGUGGCGAACGGGUGAGUAACACGUAGGUGAUCUACCCUCAAGAUUGGGACAACCCAGGGAAACUUGGGCUAAUACCGGAUGAAAGCAGCAGUGAUGUUGUUUGAAAGGUGGCGUAAGCUGCCGUUUGGGGAUGAGCCUGCGCUCUAUUAGUUAGUUGGCGGGGUAAAGGCCCACCAAGGCGAUGAUAGAUAGGCGGCCUUAACGGGUGGUCGCCCACACUGGGAUUGAGAUACGGCCCAGACUCCUACGGGAGGCAGCAGUCGAGAAUAGUCUACAAUGGCCGAAAGGCUGAUAGUGCGACGCCGCGUGAACGAAGAAGCCCUUCGGGGUGUAAAGUUCUUUUAUAUGUGAGCAGUGCUUUCUAUGUGAACAGCAUGGGGAGAGAGAUAUUAGCAUAUGAAUAAGCAACGGCUAACUCCGUAGCCAGCACG
rnacentral:rRNA from 1 species